UUCCGGUUGAUCCCGCCGGACCUGACUGCUAUCGGAUUGAUACUAAGCCAUGCGAGUCAUUGUAGCAAUACAAGGCAGACGGCUCAGUAACGCGUAGUCAACCUAACCUAUGGAUGGGAAUAACCUCGGGAAACUGAGAAUAAUGCCCAAUAGAACACUAUACCUGGAAUGGUUUGUGUUCCAAAUGAUUUAUCGCCGUAGGAUGGGACUGCGGCCUAUCAGUUUGUUGGUGAGGUAAUGGCCCACCAAGACUAUUACAGGUACGGGCUCUGAGAGGAGUAGCCCGGAGAUGGGUACUGAGACACGGACCCAGGCCCUAUGGGGCGCAGCAGGCGAGAAAACUUUGCAAUGUGCGAAAGCACGACAAGGUUAAUCCGAGUGGUUUCUGCUAAAGGAACCUUUUGUCGGUCCUAGAAACACCGAUGAAUAAGGGGUGGGCAAGUUCUGGUGUCAGCCGCCGCGGUAAAACCAGCACCUCAAGUGGUCAGGAUGAUUAUUGGGCCUAAAGCAUCCGUAGCCGGCUCUGUAAGUUUUCGGUUAAAUCUGUACGCUUAACGUACAGGCUGCCGGGAAUACUGCAGAGCUAGGGAGUGGGAGAGGUAGACGGUACUCGGUAGGAAGGGGUAAAAUCCUUUGAUCUAUUGAUGACCACCUGUGGCGAAGGCGGUCUACCAGAACACGUCCGACGGUGAGGGAUGAAAGCUGGGGGAGCAAACCGGAUUAGAUACCCGGGUAGUCCCAGCUGUAAACUAUGCAA
rnacentral:rRNA from 1 species